UACGUAGGCAGCGAGCGUUGUUCGGAGUUACUGGGCGUAAAGAGUGCGUAGGCGGUGUUCCAAGUCUGUUGUGAAAUCUCCCGGCUCAACUGGGAGGGUGCGGCGGAAACUGGGACGCUGGAGUACGGGAGAGGUAAGCGGAAUUCCUGGUGUAGCGGUGAAAUGCGUAGAUAUCAGGAGGAACACCUGCGGUGUAGACGGCUUACUGGACCGUAACUGACGCUGAGGCACGAAAGCGUGGGGAGCGAACAGG
rnacentral:rRNA from 1 species